rnacentral:rRNA from 1 species
AUCGAACGCUGGCGGCAGGCCUAACACAUGCAAGUCGAACGGUAACAGGAAGCAGCUUGCUGCUUUGCUGACGAGUGGCGGACGGGUGAGUAAUGUCUGGGAAACUGCCCGAUGGAGGGGGAUAACUACUGGAAACGGUAGCUAAUACCGCAUAACGUCGCAAGACCAAAGAGGGGGACCUUAGGGCCUCUUGCCAUCGGAUGUGCCCAGAUGGGAUUAGCUAGUAGGUGGGGUAACGGCUCACCUAGGCGACGAUCCCUAGCUGGUCUGAGAGGAUGACCAGCCACACUGGAACUGAGACACGGUCCAGACUCCUACGGGAGGCAGCAGUGGGGAAUAUUGCACAAUGGGCGCAAGCCUGAUGCAGCCAUGCCGCGUGUAUGAAGAAGGCCUUCGGGUUGUAAAGUACUUUCAGCGGGGAGGAAGGGAGUAAAGUUAAUACCUUUGCUCAUUGACGUUACCCGCAGAAGAAGCACCGGCUAACUCCGUG